rnacentral:rRNA from 1 species
AGGUCCCGGCAGGCUCCAAGUGGUGCCUGCCCCCCCAUUACCAUCCAUGUGGACCUCGAAUCAGGUAAGGAUACCCGCUGAACUUAAGCAUAUCA